GGCGAGGGACGAUCCCGGGGGUGGGACGAAGGGAAGGACGUCGCCGAGCGCUCCCGCUCGGGGUUAAUGCUGCGGCCGCAGCUGGCGCUCGGAGCGGCCCGUUGCCUGCCGGGCUCCAACGGUGCCAGUCGGCGGAAGGCAACUCUCGCCCGGGUCUGCUUGGCGCGCAGCAACAAGCCCAGCGGCACGCAGAGGAGGCGGCCAAACAGGCGAGCUUGGGUCUCUGGGGCCGGCUGGGGACCUGAGGCCCGUGCCGUCCUAGGAGGAGCCCCAAGUUCCACCAGCUAAAGCCAGGUGCAAAAGAGUGGCUCCCAGGGAGACAUAUUAUUGGAAUUAAGCAACUGGAUGUCUGAACACAACGCUCAGCCCAGGAAUUUGGUUUUCAGUACUAGAGUUGGGAAGAGCCGUAGCUCCGUGGCAGAGCAUCUGCUUUGCAUGCAGAAGGGCCCAAGUUGAAUCCCCAACAGCAUUUCCAGGAUGGACAGGGAAAGAAAGGCCCUGUCUGAAGCCCAGGCAGUAAGCCCAGGAGAGCCACUGCCAGUCAGUGUAGGCCAGGCGUUCCCAAACUCUGCUCCUUUGAUUACCCUGGUGGUAUCAUCCUGCUCUAAAAAAAGAAAAAGUCCUGGAGCUGCCCUCCCCUGCAUUCUUCCUCCACUGUUCCACUGACAUUUGAAGGUUGGCAGUCACAUGGACCCUAGAGGACGCUCUGCUUUUCUCUGGCCUCGCCUUGCGACAGGAAGAAGGGAUGGAUGUGCAGACGGUCCCAGAUUCAAUCCCCAGCAUCUCCAGUUUAAAAAAGGGUCAAGAGAGGAUGAAGAAGCGGGCGAUAUUUGCCUGGGACAGUGGAGAGCACUGGGAAAAUGCUAGACUACAGCAACAAACAAUCUGAUGUGGUAUAAAGCAACUUCUUAUGUUCCGUCACCCCAUAUUCUGGUCCAAUGCAGGAUCCCACAGAUAAAGCAGCAAGGCAGAUUGAAGGGUGCUGGACCAUGGACAGCUCCAAGCAACCAAUGUGGUCUGUCAAAGGUCGGGAGUAGACUGAGGCCUUUAAGCUUCUGUCUCCAGGCUCCUCCCCCUUGUAGAGAACUUCAGAGCCUCAAAGGACCAGCCCUCUGGCCCAAAGAUGGGCUCCUCCAUUCUGUAGCCUUCCUCCUGGUGUGCUCCCUUUUGGGGCCAGGGGGUAUGUUUGAAAAUCUAAGAAACGGUCAUGGGUACCACAAAAUAACCAUUUCACUGCAGAAAAACUGGUGAUGCUCAGAACCUCCUUCUCUAAAUCACAGGCAAAACAUAUAUAUGCACACACCAAAACAAAUAAAACACAGAUUAAAAAAAAGGCAACCCCCCCAAUCAGCCCUAAAUAAACUAUUUUAGGAAAUGAAAAUAUACACUGGGGGGGGGGACACAAAGGAUUUGACAGGUACCAUGGCAGCCACACUGGCGAUUCCAGCACUAUACAAUUAUUAAAUAUUGUGAUCAUUAGACCCAAACUAAUCCCCUAUUCAAACUCCCAAGAGUUACCUACAAUCAGCUAGAGUGGCUUUAGCAACCAAAACUCUUGUUUGCCCUGCCAGUUCCCUGCCCUCUCAGGUAGUGGCAUCUGGUGCCCAUUGGGACUAGUAGGGCAGAAGACAGGGUGCCCAACAGUAGGUAUAGCCAGAGCCAAUGAGCCAACUCAUUCUAGUUUUGUCCUCCUUUUUGAGUUCUAGAGGGGACAACAUUGGUAUUCUACAAGUGGCAACAAGGAGACAUAAAUCCAGUAAAUGAGUAAAUAAAGACUUAUAGGCACUACCACCCCCCUGGACUGAUUGUAAGUAAGUAGGCAGGCAGGUGGGAGCUGGCUGAGGGAAGAAUGAGGCUGGUGGGGCAGUGUCCCAUUUACCCAAGAGGACUGGCCUCCGUCUACUGCUGGUGCACCACCUAUGCCUGCCUCUCCAUUCCUUCCUUUUUAGUCUAUAUUGUCCCUUUCACUCAUCCCCUCUAAAAAGCUGGUUGAGGAGCAUAAAGUUGUGGCCAGAUGAGAGAUGCUGCAGCAGAUGGAACUGCUAAUGCAAGUGCUGAUGGAAUUAAUUUCAAAGAGUAUAACAAGCCUUCUAAUAUUAGCAGCACUAUAGUUCAAUUUUCACAGGCUCUUAAAAUCUCAGCCAUUUUUCAGAGCGGCUAUGACAAAAAGAUCCUUCUGCAGGUCGCCAUUUACAUCUACACCACAGCCUCGUCUCCAUUCUUCCUUGGGCUCAGUUGGAUCACAAGCCUCCUUCUCACUCUUUAGUUUAAAUUGCACAUGUAAUUUGUAUGAAGAAAAUCCCGAGCUUGUAUUUUAUGUCAGAAGAUGAAUUGCGUACAUGCAACAAAAUGUUCAAGAAUGGCUACGCUUGAUGUAUACACUCUGUCAGACGUAGCAUGCUUCUGAAUCCCAGUUGCUAUAAACCGUAGGAGGGGAAGAUCUGCUGUUGCGCUAAGGCAGGCUUGCAGACUUCUUAUGGGCACCUGGUUGGCCACUGUGAGAACAGGAUGCUGGACUAGAUGGGCCAUUGGCCUGAUCCAGCAGGAUCUUCUUAUGGUCUUAGAGCAUAUUGUGGAGCCGUUUGCAAAAUCCCGGACGUUGUAUUUCCUAUAAGAGGAAUGGGGAAGCAGAUUCAAGAGAGAUAAAAACAGAACUUCUUCAUGCAACACGUGAACCAUCUUAUGGAAUUCGCUGGCACAAGAUGUGCUGAUGAUGACUGCUAACUGGAACCUUCAUGAUCUGAAGUAUCCACUGAAUACCAGUUGUUAUAUGAGGACAACUAGGCGGGGGGAAGUUUCCUUCCUUUAAGGCCUGCUGGAGGCAUCUCAUUGGAAGUGAUAGAAAGCAGGAUGGAGGACUAGAUGGGCCUCUGGCAGUAUGUCUCUGAAUACCACAAUGGCUAUGUUCUACUUACACUGUUGGAAGGGGGCAGUAUGUCUCUGGAUAACGCCAGUUCCUGGGAAUCACAAGUGGGGAGAGUGCUCUUGUACUCAGGUCCUGCUUGCAGGCUUCCCAUGGGCAUCUGGUUGGCCACUGCGAGAACAGGAUGCUGGACUAGAUGAGCCAUGGCCCUCAUCCAGCAGGGCUCUUCUUACCUUCUCUGUAACACUGAUGGCUAUAUUUAUAUUUUUGUUUUUAUAGUUAUUACACAGAUUGCUCAGUUUGUCAUUAAUAAAAAUACUGAUAACAAAAAACCUUUAUCUAUACCACCCCAGGCCCUGUCAGGAUGCAGGAUUGGGGCCCUGAAGUUUCAGACAAUGAGGAGAGGGAGGGGUCAUUUGGACAGAGUCGUGUGAAGGAGAAGCAGAAGAGGGGGAGGGAAUCUCAGAACUGUCUGGGAGCAAGGACCUUGAAUGUCCAACAGACAUAGAUUCUUACCGUGAGCUUCCCAUGCCUCCUCCCCCUCCGAGCUUGGAGGAGUUGGAGAAGGAGGGAGGGCAAGGAGGAAUCCAACCCCCUCCUGAUCCAGGAAAAAGCAAGGAGAAACAGCCAGAUGGUUUAAGCAUUGCCCCCCCGCUUUCCCCCAUACCUGAGUCAGAUUUCUCAGAAGGGGAGGGGGCGGUGGCACCCCCUUCACCACGUACAAGGAGUCAGCAAAAGAGGCGGCAAAAGAAGGAGGAGAGGCGGGGUGUGGAUGAGGGCACUUUGAGGUGGAGUGAGAGAAUUCGCGCCCGUUUGCCCCCUUCUUAAGGGACAGGGGGAGUAGCGGUUCCUUGUUCUGUCAACUCUCUUCUAUGUCGCAGGUUAUGUUUAGUAGUUAAAGUUCAUGAGACGGCGUAGUCUUUGUCUGGAUAUUAC